GACGAACGCUGGCGGCGUGCUUAACACAUGCAAGUCGAGCGGUAAGGCCCUUUCGGGGGUACACGAGCGGCGAACGGGUGAGUAACACGUGGGUGACCUGCCCUCAGCUCUGGGAUAAGCCUGGGAAGCCGGGUCUAAUACCGGAUAUGACUCCAUGACGCAUGUUGUGGGGUGGAAAGCCUUGUGCGGCUGAGGAUGGGCCCGCGGCCUAUCAGCUUGUUGGUGGGGUGAUGGCCUACCAAGGCGACGACGGGUAGCCGGCCUGAGAGGGCGACCGGCCACACUGGGACUGAGACACGGCCCAGACUCCUACGGGAGGCAGCAGCGGGGAAUCUUGCGCAAUGGGCGAAAGCCUGACGCAGCGACGCCGCGUGA
rnacentral:rRNA from 1 species